GGGUUGUGAGGUUAAGCGACUAAGCGUACACGGUGGAUGCCCUGGCAGUCAGAGGCGAUGAAGGACGUGCUAAUCUGCGAUAAGCGUCGGUAAGGUGAUAUGAACMGUUAUAACC
rnacentral:rRNA from 1 species